UUAUCCAAGGAGGUUGAACACCACAGGAUGGAACCAUUACCCCUCCCUGGAAGGAAGCUGGAUGGUUUGGAUGUUGGCAUGUGUGCACAGUCCAUGUUUAGGUACAAUGUACUCUCUAAAGGGCUGUUCUCAUUCCCUCUCCACACAGAAACUCGGCGAAGGACUCGCGAAGCUGCGGACGGCGCGAGAGGCCCCCCAGGACUGCGUGUGCCCCCCAGGCAUUCUCUAUUGCUGAGGGUUGGAGGUGAAUGGUGGAGAGCAGAGGGGCUCUGAAAAAUGCAGAUAUCCCAACUGCCUAGAAGUACUUUGGACCUUUUCUGAUCUAAAACGUAUGAUUGUAUUUUAACAGAACUGGCAUAAAGGAUGUUUAAAAUGCAUAUGGCUCUCUCUGCUCUAUUUAACUUGGUAAAAUGUAAAAUCUGCCUUCUCCC
rnacentral:lncRNA from 1 species